rnacentral:ncRNA from 1 species
AACCUCACCCAGCCUGGACACGGAAAAGGCUGGCAGAUUGAGAGCUCUUUCUCAGUUCCAUGGCUAGUGGUGCCUGGCAGUCCUUGGUGGAACCAUUUGUCUUGUUAAUUUUAAUAACAAACAACCCCCACCCCCCACUGAUCAGCACACAACUUCUUCAAGGGACAAGUGGAAUUCAGUAACAUAGAUAGAGCAAUAACAGAUGUGAUACCCUUUACUGUG